CCAGACUCCUACGGGAGGCAGCAGUGAGGAAUAUUGGUCAAUGGCCGGAAGGCUGAACCAGCCAAGCCGCGUGAGGGAGGAAGGCGCAGAGCGUCGCAGACCUCUUUUGCCGGGGGACAAAAGGCCGGACUCGUCCGGUCCUGAGGGUACCCGGAGAAAAAGCAUCGGCUAACUCCGUGCCAGCAGCCGCGGUAAUACGUAGGUGGCGAGCGUUAUCCGGAAUGAUUGGGCGUAAAGGGUGCGUAGGCGGUCGAUUAAGUCUGGAGUGAAAGGUACCGGCUCAACCGGUAUAGGCUCCGGAAACUGAUGGACUGGAGUACAGGAGAGGGUGGCGGAACUCCAUGUGUAGCGGUAAAAUGCGUAGAUAUAUGGAAGAACACCGGUGGCGAAGGCGGCCGCCCGGACUGUAACUGACGCUGAGGCACGAAAGCGUGGGGAGCAAAUAGGAUUAGAUACCCCCGUA
rnacentral:rRNA from 1 species